rnacentral:rRNA from 1 species
GAUGAACGCUAGCUACAGGCUUAACACAUGCAAGUCGAGGGACCGGCGCACGGGUGAGUAACACGUAUCCCACCUGCCCUUUACUCAGGGAUAUCCUUUCGAAAGACAGAUUAAUACCCGAUAUCAAUGAUGGGGAUACGUUCCAUUAUGUUGUUGGUGAGGUAACGUCUCACCAAGACUUCGAUGGAUAGGGGUUCUGAGAGGAAGGUCCACCACAUUGGAACUGAGACACGGUCCAAACUACUACGGGAGGCAGCAGUGAGGAAUAUUGGUAAAUGGGCGCUAGCCUGAACCAGCAAAGUAGCGUGAAGGAUGAAGGCUUAUGGGUCGUAAACUUCUUUUAUAUAAGAAUAUGUAUUAUAUUAAUAAGGAUCGGCUAACUCCGUGCCAGCAGCCGCGGUAAUAC